GAUUGGCUUUAAAGGAUAUGGCUGGGCACGUUAAAGUCAAUGGAAGUUCAACGUGUGGACAGAUUAGAGGAUCAAGAUCAAGUAGGCUGAAUGUCGUAUGUGACCUAAAAAUGUUAGUAGGGAUUCAGACAACAAUGUCUCCUCAAAUCCUUAAUCUAGGGCUGACUUUCAUUCUUUGGUGUGCAUUUAAAUGCCUGUGUAAAUAGCUGUAGUGUGGGGAAGCCCAGGGAAGAACUGCAGUUUGCCCCAAGUGGUGUGAGACACCUGAAUGUGUAUAAAAUGCUGCAGGGACAGAGGACAGGAGUCCCAGCCCCAGAGUCUGAGGUGAGGCAGCAAGGUAGGACCAGCUAUGGAAGCUCCUGCAUUCCCAUCCUGUCUGGAAUCAGGAUCAGGGUGCUGCCUACAGUCACCUCACCCUGCCCUCCAAAACUGCUGGCAAGUGAGAGAGAGGGAUUGGACCUGAAGGGCCAGCACACCCACCUCCUUACCCAAAACCUCCUCCUCCCCACCCUCCACACUGUGGAAGUGCAGGAGAUCUGCUCCCCAGUCAGGUCAGCUGCCAUCCAUCCAUCCACCAUCCAUCCACCAUCUAUCCGUCCAUCCAUCCAUCCAUCCAUCCAUCCAUCCAUCCAUCCAUCCAUCCAUCUACCAUCCAUCCACAAUCCAUCUAUCCAUCCAUCAUCCAUCCAUCCAUCAUCCAUCCAUCCAUCAUCCAUCCAUCCAUCAUCCAUCCAUCCAUCAUCCAUCCAUCCAUCAUCCAUCCAUCCAUCAUCCAUCCAUCCAUCAUCCAUCCAUCCAUCCAUCCAUCCAUCCAUCCUUCCAUCAUCCAUCCAUCCAUCCAUCCAUCCAUCCAUCCAUCCUACUUGACUGGCCUCGAGUCGCAGGUCUGUGCCACCACAGCCAUCAUAAAACACUUACAGAGGAUGCCUGGAUGCAACGAAUCCAUCCCAUAAAUAAACCAUAAGUGUAAUUUGCCCUGAAGUGAAAGAAAUGCUCUGUUUAACGAUACCCGGCUGUUCGAUGAUUGCAGUGAGCGCAGUGACAGUCGCAAUGAUGAACUGUGCUCCUCUGAAUAGUCUCUCAAUAAUAGCUCUGUGACAACUCAGAAAUGACAUUUCUCAUAUACAGCACCUGAUAAUGUCAGCUUCACUACACUAAUACACUCUUUGCUCUAAUAUCUCAGUCUUUCAGCUAGAGAAUGCUGCCUGCCUACAAAGCAAAACAAUUCUUGUGCUAUUUAUCAGAAGACUUUGUGCUGUGUUUUCCAUGGUAAAUGGGAUUGUCCUUUCUGCCAUAGAAUAGUCCUUAUCCCAACAGAUAAUACAAACGAUUAAAUAAAAAUAAGUGUAGGAAAAUAGAUCACAGUAUUUGUCUGCUUAUCCUAUGUAAAUGAGUUUAAUAAAAAAAUUAAAUAAAUA
rnacentral:lncRNA from 12 species